rnacentral:rRNA from 1 species
UUGGUUAAGUUAGAAAGGGCGCACGGUGGAUGCCUUGGCACUAGGAGCCGAAGAAGGACGGGACUAACACCGAUAUGCUUUGGGGAGCUGUACGUAAGCGUUGAUCCAGAGAUUUCCGAAUGGGGGAACCCACUAUCUUUAGUCGGAUAGUAUCCUUACGUGAAUACAUAGCGUGAGGAAGGCAGACCCAGGGAACUGAAACAUCUAAGUACCUGGAGGAAGAGAAAGAAAAAUCGAUUUCCUGAGUAGCGGCGAGCGAAACGGAAAGAGCCCAAACCAAGAAGCUUGCUUCUUGGGGUUGUAGGACACUCUAUACGGAGUUACAAAAGAAAGUUAUAAAUGAAGCGGUCUGGAAAGGCCCGCCAAAGACGGUAACAGCCCGGUAGUUGAAAUGGCUUUCCCUCCAGAGUGGAUCCUGAGUACGGCGGAACACGUGAAAUUCCGUCGGAAUCCGGGAGGACCAUCUCCCAAGGCUAAAUACUCCCUAGUGACCGAUAGUGAACCAGUACCGUGAGGGAAAGGUGAAAAGCACCCCGGAAGGGGAGUGAAACAGUUCCUGAAACCGUGUGCCUACAAGUAGUUAGAGCCCGUUAAUGGGUGAUAGCGUGCCUUUUGUAGAAUGAACCGGCGAGUUACGAUUUGUUGCAAGGUUAAGCGGAAAAAGCGGAGCCGUAGCGAAAGCGAGUCUGAAUAGGGCGCAUAAGUAACAGGUCGUAGACCCGAAACCAGGUGAUCUACCCAUGUCCAGGAUGAAGGUAAGGUAAUACUUACUGGAGGUCCGAACCCACGCACGUUGAAAAGUGCGGGGAUGAGGUGUGGGUAGCGGAGAAAUUCCAAUCGAACUUGGAGAUAGCUGGUUCUCUCCGAAAUAGCUUUAGGGCUAGCCUCGAGGUAAAGAGUCAUGGAGGUAGAGCACUGUUUGGACUAGGGGCCCUUCUCGGGUUACCGAAUUC